AGUGAACGCUGGCGGUAGGCCUAACACAUGCAAGUCGAACGGCAGCACAGGAGAGCUUGCUCUCUGGGUGGCGAGUGGCGGACGGGUGAGGAAUGCAUCGGAAUCUACCUUUUCGUGGGGGAUAACGUAGGGAGACUUACGCUAAUACCGCAUACGACCUACGGGUGAAAGUGGGGGACCGCAAGGCCUCACGCGAUUAGAUGAGCCGAUGUCCGAUUAGCUAGUUGGCGGGGUAAUGGCCCACCAAGGCGACGAUCGGUAGCUGGUCUGAGAGGAUGAUCAGCCACACUGGAACUGAGACACGGUCCAGACUCCUACGGGAGGCAGCAGUGGGGAAUAUUGGACAAUGGGCGCAAGCCUGAUCCAGCCAUACCGCGUGGGUGAAGAAGGCCUUCGGGUUGUAAAGCCCUUUUGUUGGGAAAGAAAUCCUGUCGAUUAAUACUCGGUGGGGAUGACGGUACCCAAAGAAUAAGCACCGGCUAACUUCGUGCCAGCCGCCGCAGUAACAC
rnacentral:rRNA from 1 species